rnacentral:rRNA from 1 species
UACGUAGGGCGCAAGCGUUGUCCGGAAUUAUUGGGCGUAAAGAACUCGUAGGUGGUUUGUCGCGUCUGCUGUGAAAACCCAAGGCUCAACCUCGGGCCUGCAGUGGGUACGGGCAGACUAGAGUGCGAUAGGGGAGACUGGAAUUCCUGGUGUAGCGGUGGAAUGCGCAGAUAUCAGGAGGAACACCGAUGGCGAAGGCAGGUCUCUGGGCCGCAACUGACACUGAGGAGCGAAAGCAUGGGGAGCGAACAGG